UCCCUGGUGGCCCAGCGGUUAAGGAUCCAGCAUUGUCACCAUAGUGGCUUGGGUCUCUGCUGUGACUCGGGUUCGAUUCCUGGCCUGGGAA
rfam:Sus scrofa breed Duroc isolate TJ Tabasco Contig1914_1, whole genome shotgun sequence.